rnacentral:ncRNA from 2 species
ACUUAAUUGACAGCUUGAGUUUUACUGAUGGACAAUGCCCAAACUUCGGAAUGCAGUGAAACUCUGCAGCGGACGCGCCACUGUAAAGGAUACUUCCUGAGCCAGACACGAAGCCCUAAAAUUGUACGCGA